rnacentral:lncRNA from 1 species
UCCCUCCAAAAUUCCUAUUCUGAAUAAUGAAAACUUCUUUUCUAAAAAAACCCUAAAAACUGCUAUUUAUACUAAAGCCUAAUUAAGGAAAUAAAAUAACAAAAUCACAGCUGGGCUCGGAUUUAGGUGACGCGAUAUUGGUGUUGGUCAUCAGACUUCUGACGGUGUCUCAGAUAUGUCGUCAGAAGUCAUGCCAACUUUACCUGUUCUGCCUCACUCUACCUAACUCUGAUGAUGUCCUAUGAUGGCUUACCACACUUGUGACGGCAUGUAGCAAAUGUCGUCAGACCUUCAACUUAUUUCACCGUGUUCUGCCUCACUCUGAUGGCAUAUUCUGAUGGCUUACCACACUUGUGAUGACAUAUUGAGAAUGUCGUCACUCUCAUCCAGCAACUCUUCUCCACUGUUCUUCUUGACACCUUUUUCUGGUAGCUUACUACAUCUCUGACGGCUUGGAAGAAAUGUCGUCAGACUCAUAUCAAUUCACUUGAUGAGAUUGAAAUGCAAUAAUGGAUCAGCAGACGAGUUCUCGAGUUAAAUAAAAUGUUUCAGUUGCAAUAGACCAAUUCAUCAAGAAACUAUAUAGAUUCAAUCUGAGAUAGUAUGCAAUAAAGAGAUACACUAUUAAAUCAUUUAGAUACCAAAAAUAAUGAAUAAUAAUGUAAUACCAGGAGAAUGUGUUCAAACUGUGCACUUCAUUUUCCAUCUGCUAUCGCAGCAGUCCAUCCAUCAGGACACAUACGAUCACACCAAAUACAUAAAAUUGAAUUAAUCAAGACAUAAGGACAACAAUAACAUACCCAGUAAAAUUCCAUAAAUUAAGACACAAGAAAAAGAGAGAUUUUAUAUUGUAUGGUACACAAUGAAUUUUGGACCGAAGAACUUACCAGCAUAAAUGGUAGGUUCAAUUGUGAGAUUUUGGCAAGCUUUCAUAACACCAACUGCUUUAUAUCUUGAUUAGAUUAAGGUUACCACAGAAAGAUUGACCAAAGUAAAGACAAUUUUACUUAGAUCCCACAAUCCUUGAGGAUACUAUCUUAACUGAAAUAUUGUGUUGAAU